UCCUUCUUAGCUCAGUUGGUAGAGCGCGUCACUAGUAUCACAAUGUGAUCAAAUGACGAGGUCAGUCGUUCAAAUCGGCUAGCAGGAA